UGCCCGUUUCUGCAGCGCUUUUGGUGUGAUUUAGUUUUGGUGAAGAAACUCAUACAAAAAAAAUCAACAGUGGUUAACUUUGAAACUUACAUGAUACUCAGACCGUGAUCUGUUUUUAUUAAUUCAAAUUCAUUUACAAAUAAAUCGACUGCAAUUCAUUUCCAAUUUGAAUUUCAAUCGAAUAAAAUUGUAUUCUUUCGCCAUUAAAAAAUCAUCAAUUGUGUUAGUGCGGUUGUGGAAGUGUGAAUGCUGUGCUCGCUUCGUGACUCGGUGCAACGGCUGUGUGGCGGUGGCAAUCAGCGCGGCGUGGCGGCAAACACGUGUCUGCAACAGAGCGACUGCACACAGCUGCAAAAAUAACAUCAAACAACAGCUGACAUAAGUACUGUUGCUUUGGCUUGUCUAUGUUCGCGCGUUCGUGAAAGUGUGUGUAUAUAUGUGGCUCUCGCGCGGAUAUUGAAUCCGAUUUCUUAGUAAGCAGCUGAUUUGCGAGCACGUCAAUAAAUGAGCUAGACAAAUAUAUCCAAUAACACAGUGCACAACAACAACAAGCUUGAAAACGGAUGCGAAAAUCAUUUGAAAGCUCAAUGCUCGUGAGAAAAACGGAUGAAAAAGUAAAUAAAAAAGUAAUAAAAAAAUAAUACAAUAACAAUCCUUCUAGCUCAGUUUUUGCAACUGACUUUCGAAGCAACAUCCUCCAGUUUGUUACUCGGGAUUUUCUAGGUAAUACUUAUAUCUGUUUCGGAUUUACUACCUGUACUUAUAUUUGUUUCGG